rnacentral:pre_miRNA from 7 species
GUCUAGGACCCCUGGGUGGUUGCGCAGAUCCUGGACGAGCCCCCAACUGAAAGACCCCCAAAGGCAGACACUCACUCCAGUCUCGGGAAUAGCGCGCACCCAGCAAGACACUUAGACUG